UAUGCAUGUCUUAAGUUUUUC
rnacentral:piRNA from 1 species